rnacentral:rRNA from 1 species
UACGGGGGGGGCAAGCGUUGUUCGGAAUUACUGGGCGUAAAGGGCUCGUAGGCGGCCAACUAAGUCGGAUGUGAAAUCCCCAGGCUUAACCUGGGAACUGCAUCCGAUACUGGAUGGCUUGAAUCCGGGAGAGGGAUGCAGAAUUCCAGGUGUAGCGGUGAAAUGCGUAGAUAUUGGGAAGAACACCGGUGGCGAAGGCGGCGACCUGGUCCGUUACUGACGCUGAGGCGCGACAGCGUGGGGAGCAAACAGG